rnacentral:rRNA from 1 species
AUUGAACGCUGGCGGCAUGCUUUACACAUGCAAGUCGAACGGCAGCACGGGCUUCGGCCUGGCGGCGAGUGGCGAACGGGUGAGUAAUACAUCGGAACGUGCCCAGUAGUGGGGGAUAGCUCGGCGAAAGCCGGAUUAAUACCGCAUACGACCUGAGGGUGAAAGCGGGGGAUCUUCGGACCUCGCGCUAUUGGAGCGGCCGAUGGCAGAUUAGCUAGUUGGUGGGGUAAAGGCCUACCAAGGCGACGACCUGUAGCUGGUCUGAGAGGACGACCAGCCACACUGGGACUGAGACACGGCCCAGACUCCUACGGGAGGCAGCAGUGGGGAAUUUUGGACAAUGGGCGAAAGCCUGAUCCAGCAAUGCCGCGUGUGUGAUGAAGGCCUUCGGGUUGUAAAGCACUUUUGGCGGGAACGAAAAGGACUGUGCCAAUACCACGGUUCGAUGACGGUACCCGCAGAAUAAGCACCGGCUAACUACGUG